UUGGAAGCCAUGAUCCAGUGCAGA
rnacentral:misc_RNA from 1 species